GAAGCACCGCCUCAGUUUUUUCGUUUGCUCUCUGUAUCUUCGCUUUCUCCUCGAAGAGGUUGCUUGUCCCGACACACAUACACACACACACACGCACACACGCACACAGAGUUAGGCACAAGCGUACACCAGAGAGGGCGACCGGCGACGGAAGAUACCAAGAAAAUGUCGGUGCGCAUGGAUGCCUCGCUCUACAGCGACGUUGUUCGCAUUGAGCGUGGCGACUACCUACGCUUUCACUGCGAGCAGCUCUCCGCGGACGGCCGUGACACUCAGCGGUACUUCUUCGGCUGCUACUACCCUCGUUGGCAUGGGUUCUACCUGGAGGAGGUGCGCUCCAUCAUUGGCAAUAUGGGUUACUGUGAGCUCAAGCACUUCCCGGCCUACCCGUUCGAUGUGUACCUCAAGCCUGCCGACCUCACGGCAGCGGCCGAUUCGGCGCAAACCUACGACGCGGACAGCGCGAACGUGACAACGUACAUCACAGACGACUUUCAGGUGAACAACAUCCUCGUACUGGGGCCACCGCAGAACCAGCGCGACGAUGCCGUGAAGCGGUUCAAGAUCGUCUCUGUGGAUGUGAGCCACCUCAAGACCAAGACGCUCUCUCUCGCCCCCGUGGCAAACCUCAACAGUAGUUCCAUUCAAAACCCCAACACGAUGCUAUCCACGUUGCGCGCACCUGGCGGAGAGCGGGUGCCGGUUCAGCUGGAGAGCCCAGUUUUGAACAUUUUGACACAGUUGCGUGAUGCCUACAUCGAUCACGCCGGUGGCGGCAUUCCAGAGAUUGGCAUCAAGGCGAUGGGCCGGCCGUUCCGCAAGGUGAGUGACGACGGCCGGCGAUGGAUGACACGCGACGGCGUGCGCCAGCUUGUCCGUGGCUCCCGCGCGUUUGGCGCGCAUGCCGGCUGCUUAACCGACACUCGCAACGCCCUUCAAACGAUUGAGGCGGUGGCAGACACCAUCUUUAGCGCAUUUCCGCACGAGGAGGCCACACACCCCGUCGCCCCAGGCGAGGAGGCGUGCGAGGAGCGGAUCGACUACGACGUUUUCAUGGACUACGUCCGCGGCCAUAUGAACUCAAUCCGCAAGAAGGCCGUGCUUGAGGUAUUCCAGCGGCUGGACUACGACUCGGACGGCAACAUCACCAUCAAGGACAUUCAAGCUACUUUCAACGCGCAAGAGCACCCCGUUGUUGUCAGCGACGCCAUCUUCACAGCGGAGAAGCUGCUGAAGGGCUUCCUCGCCAUCUGGGAUGAGAACCAGCGCCAUUUUGGACUCGUGCCGUACACCGAGUUCAUGGACUACUACAACGGCCUCAGUGCUGUCAUCGAAGACGACGCCGUCUUCGUGGGUAUCCUGAAGACCACCUGGAAGGUGCCGAACUGGACGAUAGAGUUCGUGUAGCCUUCGCUCUUGGCGAGCAACGCGCCUUGCUUGGCCGCCAUGAAAAGGCGCGCAGAGAGGCGGUUCCAGCUGCACCUCGCUGGCCUCCUGGGCGAUGGUGGCGCGUUCCUCUGUGGCCCCUCUCUUGUUGGCGAUGCACAGUAGGAUGGAUGGGUGAUGGUGGUGGUGGUGGGGAGUGCCGCAAAGGAACUAAGAGCGUACUCUGUCUCUCUCUCUCUCUUCUGCAUUUUGCUUUUUCUUGUAUAUUAGCGUUUUUCAUUUCGCGUUGCUUGUGCGUGCUUGCACCCUUGCUGCCCGUGCCCUCUACUGCGAGGCCUCUGACGAGGUAGAGGGGAGGAGGGUGGCGGGAAAGCCCAAUUGCGUAGACAUCUGCGAAGCGACACACACUUACACAACACGGAUGCAGGCCAGUCCUUGCGUAGAUAAGCUUUUUGCUGUGUGCUUGGCGUGCAUCCAGUGCGCGCGCACUUUGUUGGUUCAUGUAUCGUACACAGCCAAGCACAGGAAUACACACACACACACACACACAGAGCGGCUGAAGACGGUGUGUGCCUUUCACAACCUUCUGCGAAUGCACCAAGGCGAUGCUGGCCACUGAAGGCCCGUUUUCAUGGCCGCUUCACUCUGCCUUGUGCCACUUCUCCAGCACGCUGUGGGAUCUUACAGAGACACACGUCCCUUUCUUGCUCCUGCAUGUGCCUAUGCGCCCUUCGCCCUGUAGCGAAGAAUAAGAAGAAACGGAGGCAACUCCUGAGAGACGCAUGCGUAUGUCUUUGUGUAUGCCUCGAGCUUUCAGAGGCGUGUGCGUCUCCACCCUCCCCCACUCUCCUCACCACCCCUACCUCUUUACCUCUCCCCGCCUCCUACAUGUGCGGGAUGGCGUUGUGGGGUCGCGUUUCUUUUUUUUUUCCCUUCCACCGUCGGGUGCCUCCCGCCUCCUUUUGGGUUGGCUUCGUCGAUGCAUCGUGACCGCAUCCGCGCCAUCUCGCACUCGUAAG
rnacentral:misc_RNA from 1 species